rnacentral:misc_RNA from 1 species
GAUGAAGAACGUAGCGAAAUGCGAUAAGUAAUGUGAAUUGCAGAAUUCAGUGAAUCAUCGAAUCUUUGAACGCACAUUGCGCCCGCCAGCAUUCUGGCGGGCAUGCCUGUUCGAGCGUCAUUUCAACCCUCGCAGCCCAUCUGGGCAGCGGUGUUGGGGACCGGCACCACCGGCGAAGCCCUUAGGGGCCCAGCCGGCGCCGCCCCCGAAAUACAGUGGCGGUCUCGCUGCAGCCUCCCUUGCGUAGUAGCACACCUCGCACCGGAGCGCAGCGCGGCCACGCCGUAAAACCCCCGACUUUCUGAGUUUGACCUCGAAUCAGGUAGGAAUACCCGCUGUACUUAAGCAUAUCAAUAAGCGGAGGA